GAUGAACGCUAGCUACAGGCUUAACACAUGCAAGUCGAGGGGUAACGAGAGGAAAGCUUGCUUUCCUUGUCGACGACCGGCGCACGGGUGAGUAACGCGUAUCCAACCUGCCCCCAACUAGGGAAUAACCUUGCGAAAGUAAGACUAAUACCCUAUAAUUUCCUCAGAUGUCAUCUGACGAGGAAUAAAGAUUUAUCGGUUGUGGAUGGGGAUGCGUCUGAUUAGCUUGUUGGCGGGGUAACGGCCCACCAAGGCAACGAUCAGUAGGGGUUCUGAGAGGAAGGUCCCUCGCAUUGGAACUGGGACACGGUCCAAACGCCUACGGGAGGCAGCGGUGAGGAAUAUUGGUCAAUGGGCGGAAGCCUGAACCAGCCAAGUAGCGUGCAGGAUGACGGCCCUAUGGGUUGUAAACUGCUUUUAUACAGGAAUAAAGUUAGCCACGUGUGGUUAUUUGUAGGUACUGUAUGAAUAAGGACCGGCUAAUUCCGUGCCAGCCGCCGCCGUAA
rnacentral:rRNA from 1 species